AUUUAUAUAGUUUAAUUAAAAACAUUACAUUUUCACUGUAAAAAUAAAAAUUUAUUUUUUAUAAAUA
rnacentral:tRNA from 5 species